rnacentral:rRNA from 1 species
AAUGAACGCUGGCGGCAUGCCUAACACAUGCAAGUCGAACGAAGGCUUCGGCCUUAGUGGCGCACGGGUGCGUAACGCGUGGGAAUCUGCCCUCAGGUUCGGAAUAACAGCGAGAAAUUGCUGCUAAUACCGGAUGAUAUCGCGAGAUCAAAGAUUUAUCGCCUGAGGAUGAGCCCGCGUAGGAUUAGCUAGUUGGUGUGGUAAAGGCGCACCAAGGCGACGAUCCUUAGCUGGUCUGAGAGGAUGAUCAGCCACACUGGGACUGAGACACGGCCCAGACUCCUACGGGAGGCAGCAGUGGGGAAUAUUGGACAAUGAGCGAAAGCCUGAUCCAGCAAUGCCGCGUGAGUGAUGAAGGCCUUAGGGUUGUAAAGCUCUUUUACCCGGGAUGAUAAUGACAGUACCGGGAGAAUAAGCUCCGGCUAACUCUGUGCCAGCAGCCGCCGUAA